ACAUCACUGGUUCCCAUAUGAUCACUGAAGUUAAGUAAUGUAGAGCCUUGUCAAUACUAAGAUGCGUGGCCACUUGGGAAUACCAGGUGCUAUA